GCAGUCGGACGGUCUGUCGCUGGCGGCCUCUUGGAGGCUGAAAGAGGAAAGUCCGGGCAACACAGGGCAUCCCACUUCCUAAUGUAGAAGCAGUCCGCGAGGGUUGAGUAAUGCAGAAGAAAACAACAACAGCCCACCAUCUUGGUCAUGGUGUCAGCCUUGCCACAAUGAGGCAUGGAGCGAUUUUCGUCAUGACCGAAGGUGGAGGGAUGAAAUGGUGAGAAGGUGGGGUAAGAGCCCACCAGCGGCAUGGUGACAUGUCGGCUGUGCAUCUUGGGAGUUGCAAGUUCAUGUAAACCACCCGACCGAGGGUAGCCCGCCCGAGUUGACGAAGGUCCGGGCAGCAAUGCCGGCAGGGCCGGGGCUCAUGCGGUGGAGGGUAGAACGCUUGAGCCAUGGGGCGACUCAUGGAGUAGAUAAAUGACAGACACGCGCAUGGAUGCACGAAGUAUGGACGUGCGAUGUACGGAUGUACGGAGGCAUGAUGCGCGUACAGAACCCGGCUUAUAGCCCGGCUGCUUUC
rnacentral:RNase_P_RNA from 1 species